rnacentral:rRNA from 1 species
UACGUAGGGUCCGAGCGUUGUCCGGAAUUACUGGGCGUAAAGAGCUCGUAGGCGGUUUGUCGCGUCUGCCGUGAAAGUCCGGGGCUCAACUCCGGAUCUGCGGUGGGUACGGGGCAGACUAGAGUGAUGUAGGGGAGACUGGAAUUCCUGGUGUAGCGGUGAAAUGCGCAGAUAUCAGGAGGAACACCGAUGGCGAAGGCAGGUCUCUGGGCAUUAACUGACGCUGGAGGAGCGAAAGCAUGGGGAGCGAACAGG